AAUUCAGUGAGGAGUCUGACCCCU
rnacentral:piRNA from 1 species